AACGAACGCUGGCAGCAUGCCUAACACAUGCAAGUCGAACGAGACCUUCGGGUCUAGUGACGCACGGGUUCGUACCGCGGGGGAACCUGCCAUUAGGUUCGGAAUAACUCCCCGAAAGGGGUGCUAAUACCGGAUAAUGUCUUCGGACCAAAGAUUUAUCGCCUUUGGAUGGGCCCGCGUUGGAUUAGCUAGUUGGUAGGGUAAAAGCCUACCAAGGCGACGAUCCAUAGCUGGUCUGAGAGGAUGAUCAGCCACACUGGGACUGAGACACGGCCCAGACCCCCACGGGAGGAAGCAGUGGGGAAUAUUGGACAAUGGGCGAAAGCCUGAUCCAGCAAUGCCGCGGGAGUGAUGAAGGCCUUAGGGUUGUAAAGCUCUUUUACCCGGGAUGAUAAUGACAGUACCGGGCGAAUAAGCACCGGCUAACUGCGUG
rnacentral:rRNA from 1 species